CUACCCUCAAGCCCUGCUUGGUGUUGGCGGAUUGCCCCUCGCGGCAACCGCUGAAAUUGAACGGCGGUAGCACACUUGUCUCCUGUACAGUACAAUUCUUACAGCGGUCAUAGUGGGCGGACCAGCCCCAAACCCCAAAGAAAUAGCA
rnacentral:misc_RNA from 1 species